rnacentral:rRNA from 1 species
ACAGGUUGCUGCAUGGCUGUCGUCAGUCUCGUGUCGUGAGAUGUUCGGUUAAGUCCGCUAACGAGCGCAACCCUCGUCGUGUGUUAUACGUGUCACACGAUACUGCCGGUAUCAAGCCGGAGGAAGGUGGGAUGAUGUCAAGUCAGCAUGGCCUUUAUAUCCUGGGCUACACACACGCUACAAUGGCAGAUACAAUAGGUUGCGAAGCCGCGAGGUGGAGCCAAUCCUCAAAGUCUGUCUCAGUUCAGAUUGUAGGCUGCAACUCGCCUGCAUGAAGUUGGAGUUGCUAGUAAACGCAGGUCAGCUAUACUGCGUUGAAUACGUUCCCGGGGUUU